GCCCUGCUAGGUCAGCUGGUUAGAGCGUCGUACUAAUAGAACUCUCUUAAAGAGGUUCCAUAAGGUUCAUGCGAAGGUCAACAGUUCAAUCCUGUUGUGGGGCA